GGGCAAGGAUGUGGCUCAGUAGAGGAGCUUCUGCCUGGCAUGCAGAAGGUCCCAGGUUCAAUUCUUGGCAUGUCUA
rnacentral:tRNA from 1 species